GGGUUGAGUUGGUUCAGGGGUAGGGUACGGUAAGGCUGUUCACCUGGUCUCCACAGCGUAUGGUCUGGUGGGCGGGAGGCAGGUGUCCGCUGCAGGACAUCAGCGUGGUGACGGUGGACCCAGGGGACACUGGACGCUCUUCGUCCCAAUCCAUCCUGGACGUCACAGAGCUCAAAGUUCAGCUGCUGCGCUCACACUCUCGUUACCUUGCAGUAGGCUACAUGUGGAACAUGUACAUACCAUUCAACACUCCAUUUUGAUGCUUACCUACCAGCCAAAGCCCUGCUCUGCAACCAGAAGGCCCAACAUCCUAUCCCUAACUAUCAUCCCCUCUUGGCGGCAUGACCCUCCGCCUAACAGAUGUUGAAUUGCCUACGAAUGCCUUCCCGUAACCCCAGACCUACUCUUCAUCUCUGUCGAGCAG
ensembl:lncRNA